UAUUGAUGUGGACGGAGCAGCAGCAGGUGAAGACUCGGCUUCACAGAUCCCACCUGGACAGAAAUGUUGGCGUCAGGUUAGAGGAGACUCAGCUUCAGAUUCAAAGAUGGUCGGUGUUUGUGG